CUGAUGCAGCCAUGCCGCGUGUGUGAAGAAGGCCUUCGGGUUGUAAAGCACUUUCAGUUGUGAGGAAAAGUUAGUAGUUAAUACCUGCUAGCCGUGACGUUAACAACAGAAGAAGCACCGGCUAACUCCGUGCCAGCAGCCGCGGUAAUACGGAGGGUGCGAGCGUUAAUCGGAAUUACUGGGCGUAAAGCGCACGCAGGCGGUUUGUUAAGCUAGAUGUGAAAGCCCCGGGCUCAACCUGGGAUAGUCAUUUAGAACUGGCAGACUAGAGUCUUGGAGAGGGGAGUGGAAUUCCAGGUGUAGCGGUGAAAUGCGUAGAUAUCUGGAGGAACAUCAGUGGCGAAGGCGACUCCCUGGCCAAAGACUGACGCUCAUGUGCGAAAGUGUGGGUAGCGAACAGGAUUAGAUACCCUGGUAGUCCACACCGUAAACGCUGUCUACUAGCUGUUUGUGACUUUAAGUCGUGAGUAGCGAAGCUAACGCGCUAAGUAGACCGCCUGGGGAGUACGGCCGCAAGGUUAAAACUCAAAUG
rnacentral:rRNA from 1 species